UGAAACAAAACUUUCCCUAAAACAAACCCUCCGUCAAUUUCAAAAUCCAAAAAAUACAGACGCAAAAAUUCUCCCCGAAUUUCCUUUCAUUAUUGUAAACCCUAGCCACCACAUCCCUCAAUCACAACUCGUCCAAGUCGCCGCCGUCCAUCCCAAACGGGUUUCACUUAAGCCUUCCACCACCGCCGCCAAUCUCAGUCGCGUCCCUAUCGAUCUCGACCUUAAACGGUCGUGUGUCAGCUGUUCCUUCGCCCCAUGACGACGACGAGUGUCAGUGGAGCCGCUCCAGGUCACCGAACUUGGAGAACCAGAGAUUACCGAACUUGUAUCACUCCCUUACAGAUGACGAGUCUCCCUCAUUCUUAUCUUCUUGUCUGACAAGUACACUUUCUUAUUUUAUUUUAUGAAGUUCCUUUAAUGUUACAUCAAUCUUAUGGAUUGGGUGAUUGGUUCUACUUUGGUUCUUGAUUAUCUUUUCUACAUUAGUAUUUCAUAAUGUUUGUUUCAGUUUUAAUGUUCUGAGUGACUGGCAUUUGAAAACUAAUUUUUCCUUCUCCUGUGAAGUCAAACACUAUUUCCAUAUUUUCUACUUAUAUAUAAUGCCUCCUAUUGCCACUUGGUACUUGGAGAUGUGUUUGUGAUUUAUAUUUGGCACUGCUGAAGGCUGCUCUAACAAUUUGACUUUGUAAUAUAUGAUGAUUUUAGUUAAAUUUCUGUACGUUGAUUCCCUAUUUGAUUUGUUCAUAUUUUUGCUGCUUGGUUAAAUUUGUGUCUUCUGUUAGUUUUUACAGCCCCGAAGGAAAAAUAUCUCCACGUCGCUGCCCUAAAAUGUAUUUGGAGUAAUGUAAUGUCUUGUUUUUGAGUGUUUACUCCUUAAUCAAGCUGUAGUUAGUAUCUGAACAGCAUUGUAGUAGUCUGUAGAUUUUCUUAAAUUGCCUUUUUUUGAGGAAAAAAAAAAUUGAUGUUGAUGUUUUGAGAGAAAUGGGAAGACGUGAUGUGAAGUGAGGUGGGAGAAGUUUUAGAUUCUAUUUGGAUGGUUAAAUGAGCAGAGAAGAGGAGAGUAAAAGAAGAUAAAUAAAUAUUGGUAAUUGAGACACAAAUUCGUAACCUUUGAUGUAUAUAUUACACACAUCUGUGCUGAUUGUUUUCGCUUUUUUCGAGGACAAGCAUUGUGUACCACUGCUGCUGUCCUUGGAGGAAAGAGCUUGGCAUCUCAGAAAUCAGAGAAAAUAGUAAUCUUGGACAAUUUUUGCUACUUGGUUAUUGCUAUUAUGGUGUAUCCAUGCUAUCUAUUUUAUUGAGCAAUUGUAACGGUUUAACUAUCUUGGUGCAAGUUGCAGUCUCAGGUGGAGUUCUUUAUUGUUUCUGGACUCCAAUCCUUCCUUUCAUCAGUGGAGUUAUAAAAUCACAUUAUUAAUGAAUUGAUGAAUCGAAUUUGAAACAAGACUGGAUUUAUGUGGAUAACCUCGUACUCGCACUGGUAUUGGCGAGGAUGGCACUUUUGGAUGACAUUCUAAAUAUAUCUACAAGUAUAGAACAUCCACUUGCAUGCGUGUUAUUGAUAAUUUUCAAAAUAUAUGUCUCUAGCAAGAUACUGACAUGAUGAGAAGGAAAAAGCAUUCGGCUUUCAUUGCCUCCAUAUUAUGGUAUAUGCAAAAGUGUAAGAUGUGGGGCAAACUGUAUAGCAGUAGCUUGUAAUUUGGAAGCAUUCAAAUUUAAUACUGAGCUUGUAGUAUUGACUAUGUAUUUGUAUUUUAAGUUUAUAUGAAGAUGAAAGAUUUUUUUGA